UGAAACCCGCCCCCUCUCUAUCUCUCUCGUUUUCAUAAAACCCGCACCCCCCCUCCCCCCGGCCACCCCAAUAUCCCCCAGCCCUACCGGCGGAGACCCUACAUUCCGACAAAACCAUCAUCUAGGCUUCCCUAUUCGGCCGCUCCAAGCCUCCCACCCGACUGAGACUCCUGAGGACCGAAGAAACAGAGAAAGCACCGGGGAAAAACAUAGGAAAAACCAACCAAAACAAAGGAAAGAUGGGAAAAAUUAAACGGUAAGACCUGUUCGCAGAUUGAUCAUUUUUUUCCUUUCCGCUUCUUUUUCUUUUCAUUUCAUUAUUUGUUUUUGGAGGGAUGGGAGGGGUUUUUUAGGUUUCGAUUGGGGUUUUGCUGGUCCGAUUGGGGUUUUGUCUCGAGCAUUUGAGAUUUUGUGCGAGUUGUCGCGGUGUGAACGGCAGAAGGGUUCUUUUCCACAUAGAAUGCUUUUUUUGCUUCUUUUUCGAUUUUUAGGUUCCGGUUGGGGUUUUUUCUCGGGCAUAUGUUGUGGAGGUAUGAUUUGGCCGCUUGAGGUUUUGAGAGCUUGGUGGAAGCAUGAUAGUUUGUAGGGUUUGGAGAUGGGCCGUGGGUGGUCGUGGUGGGGCAGCGGCGGAGAUGUGGAACGGAGAGACUGAUUUGGUUAUACUGAG
rnacentral:lncRNA from 1 species